rnacentral:rRNA from 1 species
UACGGAGGGGGCUAGCGUUGCUCGGAAUCACUGGGCGUAAAGCGCACGUAGGCGGAUUGUUAAGUCAGGGGUGAAAUCCUGGAGCUCAACUCCAGAACUGCCUUUGAUACUGGGGAUCUCGAGUCCGGGAGAGGUGAGUGGAACUGCGAGUGUAGAGGUGAAAUUCGUAGAUAUUCGCAAGAACACCAGUGGCGAAGGCGGCUCACUGGCCCGAUACUGACGCUGAGGCACGAAAGCGUGGGGAGCAAACAGG